UACGGGGGAGCAAGCGUUGUUCGGAUUUACUGGGCGUAAAGGGCGCGUAGGCGGUCAGCACAAGUCAAUUGUGAAAUCUCCGAGCUUAACUCGGAAAGGUCAACUGAAACUGUGCGACUAGAGUGCGGAAGGGGCAACUGGAAUUCUUGGUGUAGCGGUGAAAUGCGUAGAUAUCAAGAGGAACACCUGCGGCGAAGGCGGGUUGCUGGGCCGACACUGACGCUGAAGCGCGAAAGCCAGGGGAGCGAACGGG
rnacentral:rRNA from 1 species